ACGCACGCACCUCUUCCUCUUUCCUUAUCUCCUCUGGCUCUCCCCGUCCUCCCUCUUCCUCUUUCCUCACCCAGUCUCCUCUCCUCUCCCCCGAUCUACUACCUCUCCUCCGCUAGCAGGAUCGGCAGCGGCUGCCUCCAUCUCCCAGUCCUGGCCCGACUCCCAGUCCCGGCCACCAGCGACGAGGAGCCGGCACCGCCCUCCUUGCCGCCGCCCGCGACCCCGGCGACGAGGCCUGCGAGGAGGAGCCAGGCGCAGCCCUCCUUGCCGCCGCCGCCCCCGACCCCGGCCGCCGCAUCCACGGCGCCGGUGAAUCUCUUCCUCUCUCUCACCCCUUCCUCUCCCCCUCUCUCUCCCUCUCUCCGAUUUCUCUCUCUCACUCACCCUCUGAUUAUUCUCUAGCUCUUUCCGCAGGCAUGGAGAGGAGGAGGAGCCGGCCGCCGCCCCGCAGAUUCGCUAUCUCCCUCUCGGUUUCCCUCUCUUUCUUCUCUCACUCUUGCAGGACGUCGGUGUCGAGGAGCAGGUGCCGACGAGGCGGCGCGGCCGCUAUAGCAGGAGGAGCUCCACGACUACCGAGGAGGGCACUCCUCUGUCCAUCUCCAGCCGCCGCCGAUGCCUGCGUGUGCGGUGAGGUCGAUGGAAUUGGGGCUGGCCUCGUUUUUUUUUAUUUUCUCAAAUUCCCUAUCAGUGUCGGGCGUGUGCCAUGACCGCCACUGAUGAGGCGCCACAUCAGCCAGGAAUGUUGUGUGCCCGUCAGUGAUGUCGUUUUUUGCCCCUGAUGGGGUGUUUUGUAGUAGUGCCCCCCUCUCCUCCCUUCCUCCCUGCGCAAGGCAGGCGAAGGCAGAGCGGAUCCGGUCGGCACGCUCCGCCUCUCGCGCAUGGAAAACACCUUCCAAAAACGAUCCAUGCUUUAAUGUUCCAAGUUAUUUAUUAACCAUCUAUUAAUCCGUGAUUAUGCGAACAUUAUUCACCUAAUUUUUGAUUGGCGUGAAAAAUUGGUACAUAAAUCUGUACGCAAAUCUGAAGUAAGAACCAGAGAAUAUCCACAGAAAUUUCAUGUGCAGAUUAGAGACCGGGAGAAAUUGUGUGCGGUCGAAAAUACAAAUCAUUUGGAUUCACGGAGAAGAACACGGCGUUGCAAGCCAUGGAGUUGGAAGCCAUGUGUGAUAGUAUAUUGUCUAGUGCUAAUUUAACUCGGAGGAGAUCGAGCUGCUAUUUGAUGAUUCUUGUUGCCGUCGAGGGUGGCUAUAUAUAGGAGAGGGGGGCUGGAGCUCGGUGCCACAGUUGUAAUUCAAUUGCCAUUGAUGGAAUGAUAAUGUAAUCCUCUUGAAACGGUCCUGUUAGUUUUUUUCUAAAUGGGGACCUGGUGGUCACCCGUCGACUCCAAUUAAGCUUGGCUGAUACGUGUGACCGUGUUACAUAAUUCAGUUUUCAGACAUGUUUAACCUACAUGAGCGCACGACCUACCCUAGCUGUAUAUCUUGCAGUCCGGCCGGCAACGUGUGUGUGUAGCUGUGUACUGUUCUUUGAUUAUUGAUCAACGGCUUAAUUUUCUUGGCUAGCUAACUAGUGCUAGGCACGUUCUGUACAAUCUGUUAAUUCAUAUUGAUUUGAAGAAACAAAUUUGCUGGAACCAAAAAAGUCCAUGUAUUAUCUAUUAACGAAUGGAAAUGUUUAAUUCCACUCAUCCUAUUGCACGUAGGUAAGGGACUACUUUUAACAUUAACAAGCAUAGGAAACAGAGAAUGAAAAUGCUUAAAUCUGCUCAUGUCUUGUCGACUUUAAAAUAAAUAUUUAAUAUGUUUAGCACCAGCUAUAUCUCAAGGUAUCCAUCACACAAAAAUAUAGUCUUGCUAGUUGUUACAAGUACAAUCACGGAGAUAUUAUCUGACAGGAGAAUUUCAUGUGAGAGAGCCAUCGGUUAUUUUUGUGUGACAGACCACACCCAAGUCGCUUUGAAUAGCAAUCAGAUACAGUAUUGAACAUCUCCUCUUUCAGAAUGACAGUAACUUCUUUUAUCAGUCCGAGGAUGGCAUUUCUUCUAGAUCCACAUUAAUACUAAGAUAUAGGAGACCAAAACCUAGACUUUCUGAAAUUUGGUUGUUCAUCUACACUUCUUACUUACAGCUGACGCAAGUUAGACAUCAAGAGAUAUGAACACAAACAUUAUCUCUUAGCGUAAGAAACGGCAAUCAUUUUCAUUUCCCUUGUCUGAAAGAAGAGAGGGAAGAGAGGCAAGUUGGAAUAUGGCCUAGUCCCUACAUGCUGUCAUCACCUCCAUUCAGGAAACUGCCAUAAUUGUUUCUCCCUCUGUAAUUGUUUAUGUCUUGCUGUUCUCUCCUGUGUUCAAGCAGACUCAAACAGUGUGAUAAAAAAAGUUAUAAUUUAUAAAUUUAGAAGCGUAUUGGGAAGUGCAUUGGCAUUUUAAUUGAGAACACAUGUCAUUACUUAUAAUGAUAUUGAAGUGUAUUUUCACAGCUUUCAGCUAUGGCAAUGCAGCUGCACAAUGUGCAAUCGUACUUGUCAAGAACCGCAAUCAGUGACUAAAUACGCUAAUAUCAAGUUAUGCAUCUCAAAUUUCCAGUUGAAACUGGCAUUCUGAUAUACAAGAUGUUCAGAUGUUGUCGACAGGAGACCUUUUUCUGCAUUACCCAGUGGUCUAUGACUAUGUGAGAGACAAAUUUUUAAGUACUCCCUCCGAUCCAUAUUAAUUGUCUCAAAUUUGACCAAAUAUGGAUGUAUCUAUGCCUAAAACACGUCUAGAUACAUGUAAUAUUUCGACAACUAAUAUGGAUUGGAGGGAGUAGCUCUGUUUUACUGAAAAAUCAUCAAAUGUUCAUUGGAAAUUGUGCUGUGCUAUUUAAGUAUGUGGAUGCUUUUCUUCUUUGAGAAAAGGGUGGUUAGCUUGUACUUCCUACCAGCCAAAGAAACUAGAAAACUCUGUAGAAUUUGAAGGAAAUCCAAAACAAGAUAUAUUAUGUUCAUUAUUUUAAUGGUUCUCUUCAUCCCAUCUUGUCAGGAUUUUUUGUGUUGCAGGAGUAUAGAUCUCACUUGAAUAGAUGGGUUUUGAUUUUCAGAAACAGAUGCUUAUUUUUCUAGUUAUGCAAAUUAAGCAGACACAGAUUUCACCAGUCUUGAUGAGCUCACUAGAGGAUAUCACACCGUAAAAAAUGCACAAAAUUUAUAUAUGCAAGCCACUUCAAAAUAAAGUCAGAUAUUACCAACAAAAAAUUGAAGACUGAGCCCUUUUGACCAAUUAUAUCCACUCCUUUGGAUUUAUGCACACGUCUAGAAGUUUCCAUUCUUCAGUCCCGACUUCUGGUUUCUGCAAACAAAUGGCAUGUGAGUAAACUUGCCAAAAAUGGUAAUAUAACAAAAGAUACAUGUCAGUUGUCACAACCAAAAGAUGCAUCGUAACAGUGUCACUUCCUUGCCAAAAAACGAUCACUUAAUGUUCAAAUGAAUCUUUUCAAACUAUUUAAGUUUAGAAGCAUUUUAUUUUCUUUGAACAUUUUAGUGGCUUAAAACAGCAAGAACUUAAAACCUUAAUGUUAUCAGAGUUGGAUAACAGUAACAGUCAGCAAUGCUAAUUUCCUAGAGAAUCUCAACUUACAUGAUCAUACUCCCACCUUGCAGUCAGAGGGAGUGAAACAAGGAUGCUUGCAAUCCUUCCUCCAGUCUUCAGGCCAAAUGUGGUGCCACGAUCGUAGACCUAUGCAAGGAGCAAACUUCUAUGGUUAGAAGAAAGCUAACAAUGGCAAGCAUGACGAUCACGGACAUGUGGAAGAACUUACAAG
rnacentral:lncRNA from 1 species